CAGCGCCACAAGUGGCAAUCGCGUUUAUUGGCCCUAAAGCGUCCGUAGCAGGUUUAGCAAAUCUUUUGUGAAAGCGUCGAGCUUAACUUGGCGAAUGGCAGAAGACACUACUAAACUAGGGACCGGGAGGAGUCAGAAGUAUUCUAGGGGGACCGGUAAAAUGGUAUAAUCCCUAGAGGACUACCGAUGGCGAAGGCAUCUGACCAGAACGGAUCCGACUGUGAGGGACGAAAGCUAGGGGAGCAAACCGGAUUAGAUACCCGAGUAGUCC
rnacentral:rRNA from 1 species